CAACAUCGAUUUCAGUCUUGAGA
rnacentral:siRNA from 1 species